rnacentral:piRNA from 4 species
GCUGCCUUCCAAGCAGUUGACCCGGG